UACGUAGGUGGCAAGCGUUAUCCGGAAUUAUUGGGCGUAAAGAGCGCGCAGGUGGUUGAUUAAGUCUGAUGUGAAAGCCCACGGCUUAACCGUGGAGGGUCAUUGGAAACUGGUCGACUUGAGUGCAGAAGAGGGAAGUGGAAUUCCAUGUGUAGCGGUGAAAUGCGUAGAGAUAUGGAGGAACACCAGUGGCGAAGGCGGCUUCCUGGUCCGUAACUGACACUGAGGCGCGAAAGCGUGGGGAGCAAACAGGAUUAGAUACCCU
rnacentral:rRNA from 1 species